AUUGAACGCUGGCGGCAUGCCUUACACAUGCAAGUCGAACGGCAGCGCGGGGGCAACCCUGGCGGCGAGUGGCGAACGGGUGAGUAAUAUAUCGGAACGUGCCCUAGAGUGGGGGAUAACCAGUCGAAAGAUUGGCUAAUACCGCAUACGAUCUACGGAUGAAAGUGGGGGACCGCAAGGCCUCACGCCCCUGGAGCGGCCGAUAUCUGGAUUAGCUAGUUGGUGGGGUAAAGGCCCACCAAGGCGACGAGCAGUAGCUGGUCUGAGAGGACGAUCAGCCAGACUGGGACGUAGACACGGGCAAGACUCCUAGGGGAGGGAGCAGGGGGGAAUUUUGGACAAUGGGGGCAACCCUGAUCCAGCAAUGCCGCGUGAGUGAAGAAGGCCUUCGGGUUGUAAAGCUCUUUUGUACGGAACGAAACGGUGAGCUUUAAUACAGUUUGCUAAUGACGGUACCGUAAGAAUAAGCACCGGCUAACUACGUGCCAGCAGCCGCCGUAACAC
rnacentral:rRNA from 1 species